rnacentral:rRNA from 1 species
GACGAACGCUGGCGGCGUGCUUAACACAUGCAAGUCGAACGAUGAAGAAGAGAAACGCGAACUUCGGUUCAAAUUUCACUUCGGAUUAGUGGCAGACGGGUGAGUAACGCGUGAGCAACCCACCUCUUACAAAGGGAUAGCCUCGGGAAACCGUGAUUAAUACCAUAUGACACAUUCAUAAGGCAUCUUAAGAAUGUUAAAGCUACGGCGGUAAGAGAUGGGCUCGCGUCCCAUUAGCUAGUUGGUGAGGUAACGGCCCACCAAGGCGACGAUGGGUAACCGGCCUGAGAGGGUGAACGGUCACAUUGGAACUGAGACACGGUCCAAACUCCUACGGGAGGCAGCAGUGGGGAAUAUUGCACAAUGGAGGGAACUCUGAUGCAGCGACGCCGCGUGAGCGAUGAAGGAAUUCGUUUCGUAAAGCUCUGUUCUAUGGGAAGAAAAGGACUGUACCAUAGGAGAAAGCCCCGGCUAAAUACGUG